CUAAGAGCGAACGGUGGAUGCCUUGGCUAGUAGAGGCGAUGAAAGACGUGCCAGACUGCGAUAAGUCUCGGGGAGCCGUCAAGGGGCUUUGAUCCGGGAAUUUCUGAAUGGGGCAACCCAAUACAUAGCGAUAUGUGUUACCAUCAAUGGAGCCAACGCGGGGAACUGAAACAUCUAAGUACCCGCAGGAAGAGAAAUCAAUAGAGAUUACGCUAGUAGCGGCGAGCGAACGCGUAAGAGGGCAAACCACUAGUUUACUAGUGGGGUUGUAGGACCGCAACAUAGACUAGGAUCUGAUAAUAGAACAAUCUGGAAAGGUUAGGCAUAGAGGGUGAUACUCCCGUAUAUGAAAUCACAUCCUUACUUAGCGGUAUCCUGAGUAGGACGGGACACGUGAAAUCCUGUCUGAAGCCGGGUCGACCACGAUCCAACCCUAAAUACUACUACUAGACCGAUAGUGUACAAGUACCGUGAGGGAAAGGUGAAAAGAACGGCGGUGAGCCGAGUGAAAUAGAACCUGAAACCGUUUGCUUACAAUCAUUCAGAGCACUAUGUGGGUCUGUUUGAAUAUUAAGGACGACUUGUCUUUUGGCGAUAAAUUAAUGAGUUCGAUUUUUUCUCAAUCGAUAGGCUAAAAGCCUUAUCUCAAUCGAAAAAAUCUUCACAACAUUAAUUUCUCAUCCAAAAUACUUCGCUUUUUAUAUUCAAAUUUUAAAGAUUUCGAACUUUGUUAAUUUUAAAAUUUCUUAGAAUUUUAAAAUCCCAACUUAGAUAUUUAAAAUUUAACAACCAAGAAGCGAAGAAAGACAAACAAAACUUUAAGACAUUGGAUAAAUUCUUAAAUAUCUUAAGUUUUAAAUUUGAACAAAGCCGCAAGAAAAGUAUAAAUCAUUAAGUGCAAGUGGUAGGAGAGCGUUCCAAUCAGCGUCGAAGCCGUACCGGUAAGGAGCGGUGGAGCGGUUGGAAGUGAGCAUGCAGGCAUGAGUAGCGAUAAAAUACGUGAGAAUCGUAUUCGCCGUAAACCCAAGGUUUCCUACGCGAUGCUCGUCAUCGUAGGGUUAGUCGGGUCCUAAGCAAAGUCCGAAAGGGGUAUGCGAUGGAAAAUCGGUUAAUAUUCCGAUACCGAUAUCAGUGUGCGACGGAAGGACGCUUAAAGUUAGUGGAGCUAGCGGAUGGAAGUGCUAGUCUAAGGAAGUAGGUUGAGUUAUAGGCAAAUCCGUAACUCUUUAUCCGAGAUCUGAAAGGCUUCUGACGCUCUUCGGAGUAGAUGAAGAAUCCAUGAUACUAUCGAGCCGAGAAAAGUUUCUAAGUUUAGCUGAUAUCGCCCGUACCGUAAACCGACACAGGUGGGUGGGAUGAGUAUUCUAAGGCGCGUGGAAGAACUCUCUUUAAGGAACUCUGCAAAAUAGCACCGUAUCUUCGGUAUAAGGUGUGCCUAGCUUCGUUAAGAAUUUACUUCGUAGGCGAAGAAGGUUACAACAAAGAGUCCCUCCCGACUGUUUACCAUAAACACAGCACUCUGCUAACUCGUAAGAGGAUGUAUAGGGUGUGACGCCUGCCCGGUGCUCGAAGGUUAAUUGAUGAUGUUAGCUUACGCAAAGCAUCUGAUCGAAGCCCGAGUAAACGGCGGCCGUAACUAUAACGGUCCUAAGGUAGCGAAAUUCCUUGUCGGUUAAAUACCGACCUGCAUGAAUGGCGUAACGAGAUGGGAGCUGUCUCAAAGAGGGAUCCAGUGAAAUUGUAGUGGAGGUGAAAAUUCCUCCUACCCGCGGCAAGACGGAAAGACCCCGUGAACCUUUACUAUAGCUUGACACUGCUACUUGGAUAAAGAUGCGCAGGAUAGGUGGGAGGCUUCGAUUCGUAGAUCUCGGUUUACGAUGAGCCAUUGUUGAGAUACCACUCUUCUUUAUUCGGGUAGCUAACUAGCCUAAGUUAUCCUUAGGUAGGACAAUGUCUGGUAGGUAGUUUGACUGGGGCGGUCGCCUCCCAAAAUGUAACGGAGGCUUACAAAGGUUGGCUCAAAGCGGUUGGAAAUCGCUUGCAGAGUAUAAAGGCAAAAGCCAGCUUAACUGCGAGACAUACACGUCGAGCAGAGACGAAAGUCGGUCUUAGUGAUCCGGUGGUUCUGUGUGGAAGGGCCAUCGCUCAAAGGAUAAAAGGUACCCCGGGGAUAACAGGCUGAUCUCCCCCAAGAGUUCACAUCGACGGGGAGGUUUGGCACCUCGAUGUCGGCUCAUCGCAUCCUGGGGCUGUAGUCGGUCCCAAGGGUUGGGCUGUUCGCCCAUUAAAGCGGUACGCGAGCUGGGUUCAGAACGUCGUGAGACAGUUCGGUCCCUAUCUGCCGUGGGCGUAAGAAGAUUGAGGAGAGUUGACCCUAGUACGAGAGGACCGGGUUGAACCGACCACUGGUGUACCGGUUGUUCUGCCAAGAGCACCGCCGGGUAGCUAAGUCGGGAUGCGAUAAGAGCUGAAAGCAUCUAAGCUCGAAGCCGACUCCAAGAUGAAUCUUCUUUUAAGAGCUCUAGUAGACUACUAGUUUGAUAGGCCGGAUGUGUAAUGGAUGAAAGUCCUUUAGCUGACCGGUACUAAUAGCUCGUUUGCUUAUCUU
rnacentral:rRNA from 1 species